rnacentral:lncRNA from 1 species
GGCUCCGCCUGUGCGCGGCCUCCUCGGCGCAGCCAUCCUCGCGGCUGCCGAGGGCGGCAAAGCCCACGGCAUCUGCCAUUUGUCAUUCAGCCCGUCGGUACCGCCCCGAGCCUUGAUUUAGACACGUCUGGGGCGGAUUCUGGCCUCACUCUCCUGGCGGACGGACCGACGGACGGACGGGGCGGCUCUCCUCCCAGCCCAGCGGACCGCGGGCCUUGGCGCGCGGGGCGCUUUCCCGGGUCGCCGUCAUGGCCGCGGAGGCGGCGCGCCCGAACUGCCGCGCCUGAGUUCCGGGGGGCUCCGGACCCCGCAGGUUUUACGACAGAGCGUGUCUAGAUCUGGACCUUUCAUUCUCCUGGAUUUAUUGUGUUCCCGUCUCUAAGGUUUUUCCUGCCUGAUUGACACCAUAGUCAUCAUUGGGUUUUGAUUGCUCUCACGUCUGAUGUGGCCUCAGUUUCAUGUCACAUCUACCCCUCUGCACUUCAGACUUAGAAAGGUAUUUGCAUAGGCAUCAGCGGAGUUAAUCUUUGCAGGACUCCCAGCACCUCUGCGGAGUCCUCUCUCCUCUCUGCCUUGGGAGGGGAGAGGGGAAGAGCAUGUGUGACAGUUUUUGAGACACAGUCUGCCUCCCCCCAACUCCCGCCAUCCCCACCCCACCCCCGUUGCAGCAGUCGAAACUAGUCUGAAGCACAGAUACGCAGGGGUUUAGGCACUCCUUCCCCAGGCCGCCUCGCCAGCCCGAAUCUCACCCCACAGUGAUCAAAGUGCAGGAUGUAGUCCCCUUCGCAUUCCCCAUCCACCCACCUGGAGAGAAAUUUCAUCGGAGGCAUUUUUAGGUGUUUCUCUCUCCCCCAUGGGGUGUGUCCUAGAACCGGGAGGGUUCCAUGGCACCCGGUAGGUGAGGGCUUGGCUGCUGGCCUUUGGGAUAGUGGGAAAGUGAAGCCCCGAAGCUCUUGCCCCAGGCCUGGCCUCCCUGCGCGCACCACCCCUCAGCUGUCCUCUAGAGGGAUCUGCUCUGCGUUGGGGACAGAGCUGGGCAGGGUCUCCCUUGUUGGGGGCCAACAGGUCUCCUCUUCCUUUCCAGCCCCAGGGGCAGGGGGGUGGAUGGAGAGUGCCUUUUUUCGGACCCUCUUAUCCGCCCUCACCUUCUCCCGACCCUGAGGUUGGGCAGAAUCUCCUCAUGGAGUAGAGAUGUUUAAGAAAGACAGACUGCUUCUGCCGUCAUCUGGGCUAAACGACAAGGAAUUACAAAGCCUGCACCUGUUUUAAAUGAGCUAGAAAGGAAAACUGUUGGGAGGACAAACAAAGUUACAUUCCAGAGCUGUCCUGCUGCCCUGAUUUGGAGGCUGUAAUGAAGGCAAAACAUCACCCAAACACUGGUCACUAUGGAAAUGAAGAGAAGGAAACAGAUUUGAGAGACAAUAAGCUCGAGGAAUCUGCAGAGCUUAGUCAGUGAGAAAAAUCUAGUGCGCCUCCAGUUUCUGACUUUGGAGCAGCUGGGAAGUGACGAGACGAGGGGACUGACCUAUUAAUAAUAUGGGCCCUUAGGUGGCACCUUCUGGAUGCAGAGCCCAGCUCAGCUCUUGCUGAUUGUGUGACCAUCAGCAAAUUGGCAUCACUUUUAAGCCUCAGUUUGCCCAGAAGUCAGCUGGGCUCAAUGCUUCCUACUCAGAUGGUUGUUCGGGGCGUUAAGUCAAGUCAUUAAAACAAUGGCUGUGACCUGGUGAACAUCCAGUAAAUGUUAGCUAUUUUUACGUAGUGGUGCCAGUAGCUAAAAUUGGUAAUGCCAGUGGAGAGGGCCUGGAGGGCUAGCUUCGCGGAGCCCCUGCUUUAGAACAGGUGACCUUCAGGGGCGCUGAUGGAUAUUUAAGCUGAGAGGUGCAGGAGGUUGGAAGGCUGGGUGGGUCUGGAAUUUGUAGGACCAAAGAGAAAGAUUUGAGUGGCUUAUGACCUCAAGGAGCAUUGGAAACCUUGGGUUGUGACGGAAGUCCUGCCGGGGUUGAGUGAGCUGGUAGAGAGCCAGGUGCCCAGCGCUUGGAGCUGCGCAAACUCCUAGCCACCCUUUGCCAGCAUCUCCUCCCCCCUUCCUCCAAAGGCCCCCGUUGUUGUCAGAUGAAUAGGAAUAUCCUGUCCGCGGCCUCCACUUCUCAGUCGCAGUGACCCAGCUCCUUGAAGGGAGAUUUAGGGUCCAUAACCUACCAGGUAGGGUGGGCUCCUUUCCGCCUGGAAUGAGU